ACUGAAGAAUUGAUAUAUCAAUGAAUGAGAUCUGGGGAUUUCUCUAGGGUUUUUCGUUCUUAAUUGUCGACAAUGGCUUCUACUUCUUCAAAUUCUCGCACUUGUUCAUCGUUAACAGUAUCAGAUGAUAUCUUGCUCGAGAUCUUUACUUAUCUUCCUCUGAAUUCAAUCUGUAAGUUCAGAUGCUUAUCAAAGGUAUGGUUAUCUAACCUCUCAAGCCCUAAUUUCAUUAUCAAAUGGUUUCUAAUCAAUAAAAAGUCUCUCCCAUGGAUACACUACCAUACAAUUGACGAUGAGGAUGAUUAUGAAAACCCUUUGAAAUUCAAGAUGGCAUAUCCGGAAUUACAUUCAGGGUUUAUACCUAGACGACAUCAUGGCUUUUCUUUUGAGUUUCUUAUAAAUGAGAAACCAUUUCAAGGUUUAGAUAAAGUAUACCUCUUAGGUUCUAGCAAUGGUUUGGUACUUUGUUAUUCAUAUAGUUUCGAUGAUCAGGAUAAGAGAUAUCAUGUUUGUAAUCCACUCACUCAGAAAUGGGUUUCACUUCCUUCACCACCGUGUUCCCCAGCUAGAAGAUCUGAUGUUAGUGGUAUAUUUUGUGAGCAUUCAUCAUUGUUGGCAAGUUGUUUUAAGGUUGUACGCAUCCGUGGUUUUUUUACGCCUUCUGCGAAGAAAUUAAAUGUUGAUAUUUUUUCUUCAAAUUUGGGUGUAUGGGAAAGUUUUGAAGUUUCUUCUGAUGAAAAUGUUGCGCAGGGGGAUCCUGAUAUUCACAAUGCUGUUCUCCUUAAUUCUGUUUUGUAUUGGAUUGAAGGGUCGAGUAGAAUGUUACUUUACAAUCUCAAUCAGAUCAAAGGAAGUGAUGCACAUCAAUGUAGUUUGAUUAAUUGCCAGAUAUGGAGUUUGAUGAUGAUGUGUUUGGUUUCUUUGAUAGUCGCAUUGGGGAGUCAGAAGGCUUGGUCUGUUACGCGAAAACUAGAGUUACAGCAAGAGGAAUGACUGUGAGCGUUUGGGUGCUCGAUGAGGUCAACUGGCAAGUAUUGCACAAUCAUAUUUCAUUAGACGACAUCUUAGCAGAAGUGCGUUCUCGGACAGGUGAAUUUGUAAUAAUCCAACUUUUAGGUUUCAGUUCGGAUGACCGUAAUGUUGUUUUGCUCGGUUGGAAGGACUGGGUUUGGGGGGUCAAUAUCCAAACCAGAAGCGUUGAAGAGCUCUGCUUCUAAAACAGACAUGUGUAUGAUGCUGGUAGGAUGUAUGUUCCGUUUGUGCUAAAGCCAAUGCCAACAGUACUUCCACCUCCCUCCUGGAUAGACACUUGAAUUGUGAUCUUUGCAUUUCUAACUGAUGGAACUUAUUUGUUUCUUUCUAGCUAUUUGUCGACUCUUGGACAAAAAAAAAUUCGUUAAAUAUUUUGUUCCUGACGGGUUAAUGGAAUCGGGCAAGUCUCAGAAAGUUCCUUUCAGAUGUGUCGCAGAGAAUACAUAUUGUCAAACUCGUUAUCCAAACACAACUUUUCUGCAGUUUCACCAGGAGAUUCGGUUGCAGGUCUUGUGGCAGUUAAUGGUGAACAUUUACAACUCUCCUCCUGCCAUCACUAACCCACUCAGUGCAUCUUUUUAGAAGUUGAGGAGGCAGAUAUGAUAUCUGCGGAUCGAAAGGGAUUUGAUGUGCUUGCUAAGAUUCCUAGUGAUACAGCCGAACCUGGUCUCGACGUAUACAAUUGGACAGAGUGCAGAAUUGAUUUCAAGGAGGAAGCACGUGAUAUUGGAACACUCUGCCACCUAGUGUUCGGAAUGGAAGCAGAGGCACUUCAAAACUUGUGUUCACGGGUGCAGUCUUCCUAAAGGAAAUUGCGCUUCCUGCAUCCUGACCUUUUAUAGCUUAUCUUAAUCUUGAUCCUCGCUAUCUAAUGUACUGUAAUGUAAAUUUAGCUUUAGCUUAUCACAUACUACCCAAAUUUAAUGAAAAAGUGUUUUCACGGAGCAA